rnacentral:misc_RNA from 1 species
GCAGACGAGUUCCAUGCUGAGAGAGAAUAAGUUCAACACCAGAAUCCAAAGACUUGGCAAAUCUCCACUUGCCAUAGAACCAACCAGCACCAACUGCAAGGUUGAUGCGGAAUAGGUUAUGCAGUCUUCGAGUAACUAACCAAGUGGCAAGGGAAGCACCAAUUGCACCAAUGCCAAAAUCUCUUACAGCAGAUUGCUUCCAUGAAUUUAGUAGUUUACUUUCUUCAGUUGUCAAAUUAACCUUUCUGGAGAUGAGAAGUUCAUUCAAUUCCAUGAGCGAGUCUGCCAUUGUUGCGCCUAAUUUCAGGGUCUGAUCCGAUCAAAGG